UACGGAGGGUGCAAGCGUUGCUCGGAAUUAUUGGGCGUAAAGGGUAGGUAGGUGGUCUCAUUUGUCUGAGGUGAAAGCCUUGAGCUUAACUCAAGAAGUGCCCCAGAAACGGUGAGACUAGAGUUCUGGAGAGGGUCGUGGAAGUUCCCGGUGUAGCGGUGAAAUGCGUAGAGAUCGGGAGGAACACCAGAGGCGAAGGCGGCGACCUGGACAGAUACUGACACUCAACUACGAAAGCGUGGGUAGCAAACAGG
rnacentral:rRNA from 1 species